rnacentral:lncRNA from 1 species
CACAGGAUUGGUAUAAAUAGCUCACGUCAUAGGGGAACCCAAACCCUAACCAUCAGUUCCCGCAAGAGAAGAAGAACCAAGCACCGCACUAGAGCCAUCACCGACUGUCAAAAAAGGUAAAAUUUUUUCCUACCCGCUCAGAAUUCCAUUCCAAGCCUCCCUAUGGCCAUAUGGAUCAAGAGGGACGGCGAGUGAGCCAAAAAUUGCAAGCAAAACCCGGCAG